GAGAGAGAUAGGGAGGCUGGGGUCUCACUAAGUUUCCCAGGUGGUUUUGAACACUUGGUCUCAAGGGGUCUUCCCACCUUGGCCUCACAAAACUCUGGGACCUCACCAGGCCUACGACCAUUUAUAAAGAUUUUUCUCCCCUAAUGGAUUUAUCUCCUGCCAACCUUCAAACAUUUCUUUUUCUUGUAUGUGCUAAGUCUUUUCCCACUUUUCAGAAUGGAAAGAGUUUAUAAGUCGUCAUCUGGGAAUGCAGCCUAACUCUGAAGGCGCAUAUAGCUUGUAGGGACAUCAAGUUCAUGACCCUGUAACUCUGAUCGUCCUUCUAACUAUAGAUUCUUCUAACCAUGUAUCCUUUAAUAAACUGAUUAGUUGUAAGGUUUUUAAGAGAGAACAUGAAAGAAUUUUGAUAUACUUCUACAAUCAUAAAAUUGAACAUCAAUUUACUGCUUCCUAGCUUUGAAGUCACAAAGCAGAAAUAGCUUAUUGGAAAGACAGGGCGUUAGAAGAAAUAUAUCAAAGCACAUUUUAUUUGUAAUUGGAAAAUUUAACUCAACAGGAAUGUCGUUUUUGCCUAAUUUUUUUGAGGGGGAAAGAACAGUGUUUCUAUUACUUUUCAAAAGCUGUGAAAGAAAAGAAUUAUAACCUCAAACACAGAAAAACAUAGGGUUAGCAAUAAUUCCUGUGGGCUUAACUUUCUGUUCCUCUUUCUGUUUUUGGCUCAGCAAUACCAGAAACUCGUAUAUGAUUUCACACUAUUUUCUUUUGGUACAUCAGAAAAUUGGAUACCAAUUAAAAUUUUUCUCAAUUACUGAUUUUUAGUAGGUUCUUACUUCAAAAUAUUGUUACAGGAAGGGGUAAAACGACCACAGGAAGGAGAAAAAGCAAAACUCCAGUUAUUGGUAAAUGUGCCAUAUUCCUCAUUCAACGUGCCGUUUUAACGCAACACAGGCAAACAUUUGCCCUUUACUUUCUUCAAUAUAUGAAAUACUGUAACCAAAUAAAUACCAGAGGCUUUGAUCUUUGGCCCUCAUCUCACAACGCUCAGGGAUAUGACUUGAACAGUACGAUUUUUGCUGUAGUUAAAAAUCAGAAUAUUUAACACUAACAGUAUUUCUUACGAGUAGGUCUGUCCCGUACUUUUGUAUCCUAACAGGGUUAGGAUGAGAGUGCAGGGAGGUAUAAGGACGUACAAGAAUGCUUCUCCAGUUCAACUCUAAGUGAACGAUGUAAUUCCUCAAAUCCACCUCUCAGCCUGUUUUUCAGCGUUCCUGUGUUUGGCUGCCAGGGGCGAAAGUAGCGGUCGAGGGAAGACACCUGUGAAGGGGCGUGGCUACUCGCCCGGGUUCCUCCGUCCCUGACCCCAGAGGCGCCUGCGCAGAAUGGACAGAGGCGCUGCUGUACGAGAGGGGUGUGGCCGCCCUGUCCAAGGUCCUCAGCCCCCGACCCGACGGGCGCCUAUGCACACCGGCCGGAGAUAGUCACGCAGAUGCCAGUGGAGUCCACCGCAACUUAGAAUGUAGUGCCGACGGCUCCAGAACUGAGUGGCCGAAUCGUUGCAAGGACUCUCCCGGAGGGUUGAACUUUGGGUUCACUUCAGCAAAGUCUGUUGGCACAAGGCCCCAAUGUCACCGGCGAAAUAUCGGUGAAAACUUCCAUGUUUGGGGGAAGACCCCUGCCCGACCUAGUGACCUAGCGGGCCAACCGCCUCCCCAGCUCUCAGAGAGACUUCGGGGAGACGCCAAGCGCUCCAGGCCGGCCCUGUCCUCUGCGCUCCACUGCUGCCGCACGGACUGCCAGACUCCCGGCAUGCUCUGCGGACUGAAGUCCGCGGCACGAGAAAUCAAAGCCCCGGGGCCUGGGUCCCACGCGGGGUCCCUUACCCAGGGUGCCCCGGGCGCUCAUUUGCAUGUCCCACCCAACAGGUAAACCUGACAGAUCGGUCGCGGCCAGAUACGGCCUGGCGGUCAGAGCACCAAUCUUACGAGCCUUGUGAUGAGUUCCGUUACAUGAAAUUCUCCUAAAGGCUCCAAGAUGGACAGGAAAGCGCUCGAUUAGGUUACCGUAAGGAAAACAAAUGAGAAACUCCCGUGCCUUAUAAGACCUGG
rnacentral:lncRNA from 1 species